rnacentral:rRNA from 1 species
GAUGAACGCUGGCGGCGUGCCUAAUACAUGCAAGUCGAGCGAAUGGAUUAAGAGCUUGCUCUUAUGAAGUUAGCGGCGGACGGGUGAGUAACACGUGGGUAACCUGCCCAUAAGACUGGGAUAACUCCGGGAAACCGGGGCUAAUACCGGAUAACAUUUUGAACCGCAUGGUUCGAAAUUGAAAGGCGGCUUCGGCUGUCACUUAUGGAUGGACCCGCGUCGCAUUAGCUAGUUGGUGAGGUAACGGCUCACCAAGGCAACGAUGCGUAGCCGCCCUGCGAGGGUGAGCGGCCACACUGAGACUGAGACACGGCACAGACUCCUACGGGAGGCAGCAGUAGGGAAUCUUCCGCAAUGGACGAAAGUCUGACGGAGCAACGCCGCGUGAGUGAUGAAGGCUUUCGGGUCGUAAAACUCUGUUGUUAGGGAAGAACAAGUGCUAGUUGAAUAAGCUGGCACCUUGACGGUACCUAACCAGAAAGCCACGGCUAACUACGUGCCAGCCGCCGCGGUAA